GAUGAACGCUGGCGGCGUGCCUAACACAUGCGAGUCGAGCGGUAUAUACUGGAAUGAGAUUUCGGUCAAGUGAAGGUAUAGAGAGCGGCGGACGGGUGAGUAACGCGUGGGCAACCUGCCUCAUACAGAGGAAUAGCCUCGGGAAACCGGGAUUAAAACCUCAUAACGCCAUUGAGUCACAUGGUUCGAUGGCCAAAGAUUUAUCGGUAUGAGAUGGGCCUGCGUCUGAUUAGCUGGUUGGUGGGGUAACGGCAUACCAAGGCGACGAUCAGUAGCCGACCUGAGAGGGUAAGCGGCCACAUUGGAACGGAGACACGGUCCAAACUCCGACGGGAGGCAGCAGUGGGGAAUAUUGCACAAUGGGCGAAAGCUUGAUGCAGCAACGCCGCGUGAGCGAUGAAGGCCUUUGGGUCGUAAAGCUCUGUCCUAGGGGAAGAUAAUGACGGUACCCUGGGAGGAAGCCCCGGCUAACUACGUGCCAGCCGCCGCCGUAA
rnacentral:rRNA from 1 species